rnacentral:lncRNA from 1 species
CCAAUUUGGUCUUCUUUGCCUCAUUGAGCGAGACCUUUGAAGCCUCUUCCCUCGGGCGCUUCUCCCCAAUGACCACUCCCUUCAUGGCAAGAGUGGACUUUGAAGCUGAGCUUACGCCCUUUACCUCCUCCACCUUUUGGGUGAGCUUUUUCAAACUGAUUCUUUUUGGAAUCCCUACAAAAUGAAUACCGACAUCAAAAUAAAGAAGAGGUGAAAUAUUUGAAAAGGAAUAAAGACUGUACCAUCCGAUUUAAGCUCAAAAGGGAGCCACGAUUCUGACAUAGCUCACGUGCUUGAGCUCAAACUCGAGCUUGAGCUGCCUGGCUCCCAAUUAAGGAAGGAAGGUUGGACAUUGUCCCUAAGAUUGACAACAAAACUUGAUCGGGGAGGCGAGAUAGAAGCCUCACACUCCUCUUAAUAGUUCCUAUGUAUUCUACCGAGUCAUCUCGGGUAUGAUCACCACGGUAAAAUUCAUCUCGGGGAUGGUGGGACUCACCCUCGUCGCCCACGGUGCUUGUCUCUACCUCUAUAGGUUUGUCCUAUGCAUUAUCCCUGCCACUAGAUGACAUCUCGGCACGGUCAAGGGCUCUAGAACUGAGGACAAUUGGAACAUUAAAAUAGCCCCCCCGACAUUAUUUUCUUAAAAACUCUUACCAUCCUUUUUUCCUCAAUGUCAGUCAGAAUGGGCAACUUAUUGCAAUGUUUUCCUGGAAAAUGAAGAAUGCUUAUUAGUAUAAGGCGAGGUGAGGUACUUGAGAAAAGCUACAUAAUGUGAAAAUAAGGCUAACCUGGGAUACCCCAUGAUCUCGGGACCCGCAAAACUUUUUUACCUCGAACUAUACUAGGGGAGAACUCCCAAUCAUCUCUCGAGGCAAAGAAGAAUCUUCUCUUCCACCCUUUAACGUUAUUGGGGAAUCCUUUAAGCAUGUUUCUACCCGGCCUCGCCUUGAAGUAAAGCCACCCUGAGUUUGACUCUGGACUCUUGAACAAGGUGUAGAGGCACCUGAAUUCGUUGAGGGAAAGGUGGCACCUAUAGAAUCUCCAUAUCACUAAGAUCAAGAUGAUGCUUCGCUAGGCGUUAGGAGAAAGUUGGGCGGGGCAAAUGUUAUAAAAAUUCAAAAUCAUCCUGAUGGUGGGAUGAAUUGGGAACCUAAGACCAGCGGGGAAAGUAGCCUCAUAGAAAGCUACCUCGCCCAUGCGAGUGGACAAUAUGGUCUCGCCCUCUUCAAGAAUCCUAGUUUGGACCCUUACAUGGAAGGAAUAAGACUUUCUCAGGCAAUCUAGGUCGUCCUGAGUCAUAGUAUUAAUCUCUAUAGCAGGAGAACUAAUGGUGUAUACCCCAGGGUUUUUCCCUUGGUCAAGAAGUUCGUCCCGAGGAGGAGAUUCCUCGAGAGGGGGAAAGCCAAUUGAUUUACCUUGCAAGACAUGUAAAAUCUCUCCCCUAAGUGUUCGGAUAUCAAAGAAGGCAAAGAAUCCUCCAAACUCUCCAAGUUUCCUAUAUCGACUCUAUCAAACAUGCACUAAAAACUAAGGAAUUGGAAGAGAGGAUAGCAGUUAAUACUUACUGAAAGACAAAUGGAAGAAGAGUGGCGAUCUAACAAGGGUGAGGUACACGUCGGAGUAGAGUUAACAAUUGGCAAAAGAGUGUAAAUGAAUGAUAGGACCCCCUUAUUUAUAGGAAUCACCAAGGGUUGAGAUCUAACUACUCUGACAAAUAAGAUCUCGUGACGUUCUGAGUUCCAAGGUUGAAACUGCUAUUCCCGCCAGAAGGUUGUUACUCCAUUAAUGAACUCACCCACAUGUCACGCGGUUUGGGUGCACCAUCAUCACAUAUAGACGUCAUCAAGAAUUAACUGCUUGGUUUGUUACUCGAAAAUCCCAAGUGUUCCAAUUCGGCAUCUCGAGUAAGGGGGCUACUGAUGAGGGAGAAAUUAUCCCCAUAUGAGUCAGAGUGGUUUACAUCACCCUUAAAGGUUUAUGUUUCCAAUGCUCCAUCAUCGCCCACCUCGCCAAUAUCUAUGAGCCUACUCGUUUCUUCCUUAAAACGAACCUAAACAACUCUACCAGCAAGCAACAAUCAAGUGUCGCCAACGAGGCGAUCCCCCCUGUUGGCUAGUACAACACGGUCUAACAAUUCCCACACUUUAAAUGAUUCUCCUUCUUGCUAGUGGGCGAGGUUGAUUACUUCACCAUUAUGAAGACAAGAUCAUCACAGAGACCACUCCUGAGAGGACUCCACUCCAUAAGACUCCUACUCCACACGUUGCCUAUAAUUAUAGACUACUCUCCAUAUAGCAUUCUCCUAUUAUCACUCUGAUAUCUUCGAUAUCUCCUUUCAUACUUAGCCGUCCAAGGAUCACGCCGUAGUUUUCUGACACGACUCUCCCAUCUUUAACUAUAAAAAGGUUGUUCCCCCAUCAUUCAAAGUAUGCCAACACUCAUUAUUUAAUUUCUGAGAGUUCUGGUACUUUGCUUUGCUGAGUUUAUCCUCGCCUUGGUC